UCCUCUUUCUCAGCCUUUUGGCUAAGAUCAAGUGUAGUAUCUGUUCUUAUCAGUUUGAGUUCAGUUUUUAUUCUCUUUAAUGGUGCAGCCUAUAUGGAGUUGUAGCUCUGAUGUUCUUACUGGAGAAGAUUUCUGUGUUUGUCCUGAGAACACACAGCAUGGCCCUGCCCUCUCUCAAUAUGGAAGCAGU
rnacentral:snRNA from 1 species